rnacentral:misc_RNA from 1 species
GAUGAAGAACGUAGCGAAAUGCGAUAAGUAAUGUGAAUUGCAGAAUUCAGUGAAUCAUCGAAUCUUUAAACGCACAUUGCGCCCGCCAGUAUUCUGGCGGGCAUGCCUGUCUGAGCGUCAUUUCAACCCUCAUGCCCCUAGGGCGUGGUGUUGGGGAUCGGCCAAAGCCCGCGAGGGACGGCCGGCCCCUAAAUCUAGUGGCGGACCCGUCGUGGCCUCCUCUGCGAAGUAGUGAUAUUCCGCAUCGGAGAGCGAUGAGCCCCUGCCGUUAAACCCCCAACUUUCCAAGGUUGACCUCAGAUCAGGUAGGAAUACCCGCUGAACUUAAGCAUAUCAAUAAGCGGAGGA